rnacentral:rRNA from 1 species
AUACGGAGGGUGCAAGCGUUAAUCGGAAUUACUGGGCGUAAAGCGCACGCAGGCGGUUUGUUAAGUCAGAUGUGAAAUCCCCGGGCUCAACCUGGGAACUGCAUCUGAUACUGGCAAGCUUGAGUCUCGUAGAGGGGGGUAGAAUUCCAGGUGUAGCGGUGAAAUGCGGAGAGAUCUCGAGGAAUACCGGUGGCGAAGGCGGCCCCCUGGACGAAGACUGACGCUCAGGUGCGAAAGCGUGGGGAGCAAACAGGAUUAGAUACCCUGGUAGUCCACGCCGUAAACGAUGUCGACUUGGAGGUUGUGCCCUUGAGGCGUGGCUUCCGGAGCUAACGCGUUAAGUCGACCGCCUGGGGAGUACGGCCGCAAGGUUAAAACUCAAAUGAAUUGACGGGG